rnacentral:rRNA from 1 species
UACAGAGGUCUCAAGCGUUGUUCGGAUUCAUUGGGCGUAAAGGGUGUGUAGGUGGCGCCGUAAGUCGGGUGUGAAAUUUCGGAGCUUAACUCCGAAACUGCAUUCGAUACUGCGGUGCUUGAGGACUGGAGAGGAGACUGGAAUUCAUGGUGUAGCAGUGAAAUGCGUAGAGAUGUGGAGGAACACCGAUGGCGAAGGCAGCCUCCUGGGCCAAUACUGACGCUCAUGCACGAAAGCGUGGGGAGCAAACAGG